GAAGUUCGAAGAGCCGGAGCAGGAUUGUAGUGGGCUGGGGCCCACUGGGCUGAGAUGAGAGUAGCCACAGAACUUCUUUUAUUGCAGUUUCUUGGAUUACAGUAUACUGUGUGUCAGGUUGCAUGUGCCCAAAUAGAUUAACCAACUAAAGAAAAACCUGGUGUGUUUCGUCUAGCCUAUAAGCUCAUUUAUGGAAGGUCAUCCCUUUAUUGAGACCAGCCCAAAAGACCCUGAGGAACUUAGAAGACUCCUGCUGACUUUGAAGAUCAUAGUCCCAAAGCAGGGCCAUGAAAUGGAGCAGCAAAGAAGAGUAUCAUUGUCAAAGCUCAAGUUCCAUCAGAAUGGGAUGUCAGAAAAUAUGAUGCACAUAAAGAAGUCCAGAUCACCCACCAUCCACCCCCUUGGAGACGGCUGCUGUUAACAGUCAUCCACAUCCCAUUCUUUCUAUGCUUACACACUGAAGACAACAGAAAUGAGAGCAUUUUUUUGUAUGCUGCUUUUUAACUAGUUUUCACUUUUAUUUAAACUCUUCAAGAAAUCUUUUAAAAUUUCUUUUUAAAUUCAUCUACUGCUCCAUGCUAUUCCUGUGGGUGAAAAACUGUAACACUCAGCACAAUAAAUUAAUUCUCUGUGAAACUCAUGUUCUCAUGUUACCAGAAAUAUUUUUUGGUCUGAUCU